UACGAAGGGGGCUAGCGUUGCUCGGAAUCACUGGGCGUAAAGGGUGCGUAGGCGGGUCUUUAAGUCCGGGGUGAAAUCCUGGAGCUCAACUCCAGAACUGCCUUUGAUACUGAAGAUCUUGAGUUCGGGAGAGGUGAGUGGAACUGCGAGUGUAGAGGUGAAAUUCGUAGAUAUUCGCAAGAACACCAGUGGCGAAGGCGGCUCACUGGCCCGAUACUGACGCUGAGACACGAAAGCGUGGGGAGCAAACAGG
rnacentral:rRNA from 1 species